GUGUAGUUUGAAAGGAGAGCAAGUUAGCACUCCCCUAGACAAGGAUGGACACAUAAAUGGCCGAGCAGGCACAGACAAAGCUCGGUCGACAAUUUUU